rnacentral:rRNA from 1 species
AGGGCACCACCAGGAGUGGAGCCUGCGGCUUAAUUUGACUCAACACGGGGAAACUCACCCGGCCCGGACACCGGAAGGAUUGACAGAUUGAUAGCUCUUUCUUGAUUCGGUGGAUGGUGAUGCAUGGCCGUUCUUAGUUGGUGGAGCGAUCUGUCUGGUUAAUUCCGAUAACGAACGAGACUCUAGCCUAUUAAAUAGACGUCGGGUUCUCUGCACUCGACGGUCUUCUUAGAGGGACAAGGUGCUUUUAGCACCGCGAAACAGAGCAAUAACAGGUCUGUGAUGCCCUUAGAUGUCCGGGGCCGCACGCGCGCUACACUGAAGGAAGCAGCGUGUAACAACCUUGUUCUAACGAACUGGGUAACCCGUGGAACUUCCUUCAUGAUUGGGAUAGGGGUUUGCAAUUGUGCCCCUUGAACGAGGAAUUCCCAGUAAACACUAGUCAUCAGCUAGUGCUGAUUACGUCCCUGCCCUUUGUACACACCGCCCGUCGCUACUACCGAUUGAAUGGUUUAGUGA